rnacentral:tRNA from 1 species
GGCUCGUUGGUCUAGGGGUAUGAUUCUCGCUUAGAGGUCCCGGUUCAAAUCCGGACGAGCCC